UUGGACUUCAGUUUGUAGAACUGCAAGCUCAAGAAUGCACGGAAAGCAAGGAAAAUACACACUGAAUAUUGAACACUCUGGAAACUCGGCAGUUUGAGAUUCUAUCCAUGCCAGAAAAUUCUGGAAAAGUGGCCUGUCAGCCACGUGUUCAAAUAACCAAGAGGCUCACAGCGCCACAUACUGGCAUGAACAAUCAAGUGAUGUCCCUUCCAUCUUAACCAGGGUGAGUGUGAACCCAGGAGUCCCUGCAGAGUCAGGAAUGCCACGCACAGGUGAAAGAAAAUUGCUGCCUUAAGCUGACUCUGUGGAACAUCUUUCUGGUUUGUUUCUUAGCCUGUCUGAUAA